rnacentral:rRNA from 1 species
GAUGAACGCUGGCGGCAUGCCUAAGACAUGCAAGUCGAACGAGGCGGCCCAAUGAAGACUGCGUGCUUGCACAAAGUUGGAUUUGGAUUCCCGUCUAGUGGCGCAAGGGUGAGUAACACGUGGGUAAUCUACCUUCGAGUCUGGAAUAACAGUUAGAAAUGAUUGCUAAUGCCGGAUUAUAUAUAGGAUGAUACGUCUUCCUAUAUUUAAAAAGGAGCCUUUAAAGCUUCGCUUGAAGAUGAGCCUGCGCCGUAUUAGCUAGUUGGUGGGUAAAGGCCUACCAAGGCGACGAUGCGUAGCCGACCUGAGAGGAUGAACGGGCCACAUUGGGAACUGAGACACGGUCCAGACUCCUACGGGAGGCAGCAGUGAGGAA